rnacentral:rRNA from 1 species
CCUACGGGGGGCAGCAGUGAGGAAUAUUGGUCAAUGGACGAGAGUCUGAACCAGCCAAGUAGCGUGAAGGAAGACUGCCCUAUGGGUUGUAAACUUUUUUUAUAAAGGAAUAAAACGAGGCACGUGCGCCUUUUUGCAUGUACUUUAUGAUUCAGGAACGGCUAACUCCGUGCCAGCAGCCGCGGUAAUACGGAGGUUCCGAGCGUUAUCCGGAUUUAUUGGGUUUAAAGGGAGCGUAGAUGGGUUGUUAAGUCAGUUGUGAAAGUUUGCGGAUCAACCGUAAAAUUGCAAUUGAUACUGGCAGUCUUGAGUACAGUUGAGGUAGGCGGAAUUCGUGGUGUAGCGGUGAAAUGCUUAGAUAUCAGGAAGAACCCCAAUGGCGAAGGCAGCUUACUAAGCUGUGACUGACAUUGAUGCUCGAAAGUGUGGGGAUCAAACAGGAUUAGAUACCCUUGUAGUC